ACAAUUAACAUCUAUUAUAGGGAUCACGUGAUUGUUUCACAGGGCAACCCAACUAAACACAUCCAAAUUCUUGGUUGUUUACAUUGGUGACGCGCGCGUCUCAACUUUAUACUUACUUAUUCAGUAUUUCAGGUCUGGGAUCGAGUGGAAGUGAGUUAACUUUGACAGCACAUAUCUCAACAAACGCUAAAGAACAAAUAAUUCAAGAUGGCGACAGCAGGAGCAGUUACAGACGAUGAACGUGAUAUGCUAGCUAAAUAUUUUGAAGAGUGCGUGAUUAGUGCAUCCGGUGGUAAAAAAUUAUCAGAUGACGAGAAGAAAUAUGCUACCGGAAAAGCAAUUAUGAAGAUGAUUGAACCCGUGAUGGGCAAAUCUGAUGCUACUUUUUGUGAAGGAGGCGUGGUUACCAAAUUAUCCGAUAAAAAAACAAAGAAAAUGCAUGUAGAUGUCUUUACUGGUGAUUUUUUCCCUGAAUUAGCAAAAUAUGCAGCUACCAGCAUCCCUGCUCACAAGAAAAAGGGCACGACUCCAGAAGCUCUUAAACAAAAAUACUUAGAAAAAGUUAGAACA